CCUACGGGAGGCAGCAGUGAGGAAUAUUGGUCAAUGGCCGGGAGCCUGAACCAGCCAAGUCGCGUGAGGGAAGACGGUCCUACGGGUUGUAAACCUCGUUUGUCAGGGAGCAAGGUGCAGGUCGGGACCUGCUGUGAGAGUACCUGAAGUAAAAGCAUCGGCUAACCCCGUUCCAUCAGCCGCGGUAAUACGGGGGAUGCGAGGGUUAUCGGGAUUUAUUGGGUUAAAAGGGUGCGCAGGCGGAGGCACAAGUCAGCGGGAAAAUCGCGGGGCUCAACCCCGCUCCGCCGUUGAAACUGUGUCACUGGAGUGCGCGAAGGGUAGGCGGAAUGCGUGGUGUAGCGGUGAAAUGCAUAGAUAGCACGAAGAACUCCGGUCGCGAAGGCAGCCAACCGGCGCGCAACUGACGCUCAUGAGCGAAAGCGUGGGUAGCGAACAGGAUUAGAUACCCGAGUAGUC
rnacentral:rRNA from 1 species